GAUGAACGCUGGCGGCGUGCCUAAUACAUGCAAGUCGAGCGAACAGACGAGGAGCUUGCUCCUCUGACGUUAGCGGCGGACGGGUGAGUAACACGUGUAUAACCUACCUAUAAGACUGGGAUAACUUCGGGAAACCGGAGCUAAUACCGGAUAAUAUAUUGAACCGCAUGGUUCAAUAGUGAAAGACGGUUUUGCUGUCACUUAUAGAUGGAUCCGCGCCGCAUUAGCUAGUUGGUAAGGUAACGGCUUACCAAGGCGACGAUGCGUAGCCGACCUGAGAGGGUGAUCGGCCACACUGGAACUGAGACACGGUCCAGACUCCUACGGGAGGCAGCAGUAGGGAAUCUUCCGCAAUGGGCGAAAGCCUGACGGAGCAACGCCGCGUGAGUGAUGAAGGUCUUCGGAUCGUAAAACUCUGUUAUUAGGGAAGAACAAAUGUGUAAGUAACUAUGCACGUCUUGACGGUACCUAAUCAGAAAGCCACGGCUAACUACGU
rnacentral:rRNA from 1 species